GCCAGGGUAGCAUAAAUGGAUAAUGCAGCUGACCUGUAAUCAGCAGACUGUCGGAUCGUACCCGACCUCUGGCA
rnacentral:tRNA from 2 species